rnacentral:rRNA from 1 species
GAUGAACGCUAGCGGCAGGCUUAACACAUGCAAGUCGAGGGGCAUUCAGGAAGAAAGCUUGCUUUCUUUGCUUGGCGACCGGCGCACGGGUGAGUAACACGUAUCCAACCUGCCCUUUACUCGGGGAUAGCCUUUCGAAAGAACGAUUAAUACCCGAUGGCAUAAUGAUUCCGCAUGGUUUCAUUAUUAAAGGAUUCCGGUAAAGGAUAGGGGAUUGCGUUCCAUUAGGUUG